UAGAUUAUGCGACCCUCCCUAAUCCCUUCAUCUAUGCUAAUCGGCCAUUUGCAUAAUCUAAAAGCUUUAUAACAGGUUGUGAUAAAUAUCAAUAAACGGAGAGUUAAAUGACUCUUAUCUUGUCUUCUCUGCUUCCUCCCUGGCUUGGCUCCUUCUUAGCCGGCCAUUAACCCAUUUGACAGAGCAAGGAUCUCUCCAUUCUUUGCUAUUUUAUUGCCGAUUCAGUUCAAUUCUAAUGGAAUUUUACGUGAUAAUUUCCUCCGCUGUUGCUGCAAAUCUGUGGUAA
rnacentral:misc_RNA from 1 species